rnacentral:tRNA from 1 species
GGGGAUGUGGCGAAAUUGGCAGACGCGCUAGAUUUAGGUUCUAGUCUUCGGGUGUGGGUUCGACUCCCUCCAUCCCUACCA